rnacentral:rRNA from 1 species
GUCUCUUUGGAAAUAGAUAUAUAAAGAGUCGAACCUGCCCGGUGACAUAUUGUUAAACGGCCGCGGUACCCUAACCGUGCAAAGGUAGCAUAAUCAUUUGCCUUUUAAUUGGAGGCUGGUAUGAAUGGUUUGACGAGAGCUAUGCUGUCUCUUCUAAAAUAUUUAAAAAUUAACUUUUAGGUGAAGAGGCCUAAAUUUAUUUAAGGGACAAGAAGACCCUGUUGAGCUUUAGUGAUGUUAUAAACAAUAAAAGGUGAGUUUUGUCACAACCUAUUUGUUAUAUAUUUAGUAUAAUAAAAGUUUGUAAAUAAUCUUUAGUUGGGGCGACUGAGGAACAUAUAAAGCUUCCUUGUACAUAAAAUUAUUUAAGUAGCUAAAUAUUUAAUGCUUAUAUGUUAUUUUGAUCCAAUUUAUUUUGAUUAAAAGAAAAAGUUACCACAGGGAUAACAGCGUAAUCUUUCUGGAGAGAUCUUAUCGAAAGAAGGGUUUGCGACCUCGAUGUUGGACUAAGAUAUCCUAAGGGUGUAGAAGCUCUUGAAGGUUGGUCUGUUCGACCAUUAAAAUCUU